UGCGAAGGGGGCGAGCGUUGUUCGGAUUUACUGGGCGUAAAGGGCGCGCAGGCGGCUCUGUUUGUCAGGCGUGAAAGCCCCGGGCUUAACCUGGGAACUGCGUUUGAUACGGCGGGGCUAGAGUUCGGGAGAGGAGAGCGGAAUUCCCAGUGUAGAGGUGAAAUUCGUAGAUAUUGGGAAGAACACCGGUGGCGAAGGCGGCUCUCUGGACCGAGACUGACGCUGAGGCGCGAAAGCGUGGGGAGCAAACAGG
rnacentral:rRNA from 1 species